UGUGCAACUAUUUAGACGUCUUUACUUCUAUUAAAAAAUUACAAUUAAAAUUAAAACUAUACAAGUGAUCAAGUUACAAUUAAAAGAUUUACUGUCAACUCUAAAAUCGUGCAAAUAAUUGAAAGGCACACGAAGUGUUAAAGCCCUCUAGAAGCUGGAUGUAAGUCUUAUGUAAUAUUGAACAACGACAUGACAUAAGAUUUGUCCAUAAGUUUAUGUAAUUCAAAUACAUUUUACCGGAGUUCAACAUUGUGUAACCAAAUGGUGUUCGGUUUUGCUAAUUUCUAUUUGACAAAACUAGAUAAUUUUUAUAUUUCCAAAUUCAAAAGUGCUAGUAAAUCAUUGGCUGGUCUAUCAUCGUUAACAAUUUGACUAAAUGAUAGCCAGCCAACAAAUUUUACUCUUGCAUAUCGUAACUACAAUUUUCACAAUCCUAUUGUCCAAUAUAUUUUCCAUCUCAAAGUGAAGUUUAAGCACGUUCGAUAACCUAAAAGCCACAAAUAUCAAAAACCUAACCUCAACUAUCUUCAAAUUGGUUAUGAUUUCGAAGCCAAAGUCACUAUAAUUUCACAUAUUAUUUUAAUUAUUUUCAAGAAGAAAUAAUAGUUUUGUUAAAACUAUUCUACAUUUUUCUACAUGUGCUAGUAUUCAUAUAGCUGCACAUUAUAUAAAUGUAUUCCGUUUGGAUAUAUGCCUACCUAAAAUCCAAUUAAACAUUUGCUUCAUAAUUAUAAACUAAUUUAAGACAAGUUUUUUUUUAAAAAAAAGAUUUUUUUAACGUAAAUAUUUAUCUUAUGUGUUAAGUUUUGGUUUUGAUAUUAAAUAUUGUCCUAAUAUCAUAAAUGUUAAUGUAUGUUUAAUAACUUUGCUAAAACUUAAACUCUAAAGGGAAACCCUAAACUUCAUUAUAUCUUUAUUAUACUAUAGAUAUUAUUGUACGUAUAUGCAAGAAUUUUAUUUUCAUUAAUUACACUAGUUUACAAAUCAAACAUUUUUCUUUGCUCAUGGAAUGAAACUUAUAUUUUUGAGAAGAGCUAGGGACGCUUGUUAAUUGACCAUUUUUUGUUUCCCACCUAUACGUCAAAAUUUUGAGAUAUAUGGGUUUUUAUUUUUCACCUGCCCUGAGUACUACUAAUGCAUACUGUAGUGUACCGAAUUGUAGUAAUUAAGUAUUUACAUCGUUUACAACACUCUGGUGAAGCUGCUAGAUACUUUCAGAGUUGUAUUCUUUUGACAAAUUCCAAAAAAAAUGAACGGGAAAAAAAUAAAUACGGUUUAAAAGUACGUCUUUCCUGUAGAUAAACGUUAAUAAAUCGCUGUUAAAUACAAAUUUCUAAAGUAAAAACUAUAUCAAAAUGUCUUCUAGAAAGUGUAAAAUAAACCCAGACCAUUUUUGUUUUAUUUGCAGAAAAAUUAUUCAGUCAAAUCGAGGUUUUCCUAUAACACAAACACUGCAAAAUUAAAUUAAAUUAAACAUUAAAUUAUUUCGUAAAAGCUUUAGAUAAGACAAAACAAGCAUUUCAAUAUUUGUGCAGCGUGUUCUCGAGUCUUUCUGAGGCUAAACUAAAUGAUGGGAUAUUUGUGGGUCCGCAAAUAAGAAAAAUUUUGGUUGAUACCAAAUUUGAGUGUCUAUUAACCGGUGUUGAUAAUGCAGCAUGGAAUUCUUUUAAACUUGUUGUUCAAGAAUUUUUGGGGAAUAAGAAAAGUCAAAAUUACAGAGAUAUUGUAGCAAAUUUAUUACAUAAUUUUGAACAGAUGGGUGUAAAUAUAUCCCUCAAGAUUCACUAUUUAGAUUCUCAUGUGGAUUUUUUCCCGGAAAACGUCGGACACAUGAGUGACGAACAUGGAGAGCGUUUCCAUUAAGAUUUGAAGUUUUUCGAGAGGAAUUAUCAAGGUUUUUGGAAUCAGAAUAUGCUAGGAGACUACUGUUGAAGUGUCGUGAGGGAGACAAAUGAAAAUAAUUAUAAAAAGAGGACUAAACACUUCACAUUUAUUUUUUUUUGUAGUAAUUUAAUGUACAUUUUUAUAUGUUUCGUUUUUAAUAAAUAUCUCAAAAGUUUGACGUCCAGGAUUUUUUUUUAUAUUUUUUCCAAAGUUAGAAGACCUUAAUACACAAAUCCCCAUAUGUUUCAAUUCAUGAGCAAAAACCUUGUAAACUAGUGUUAUCAUUUAGUCCAAAAUUAAAUCAAUGAAAAUUACUACUCUUGCAUAUUCUCUUAAAAACUAAAAUGAAUUUUAUUAAAAUUUAAAACUAAAAUAACAUGCAAAUAACAAAAACAACAAAGUCGUUAUAGAAAAUAAAAUAUAGAAAAGAAGAAAUAUUAAAAAGAAACUAAACUUACGAAAAAGAGAACAACAGAAAAAUGUUAAUUUAAAUUUAAAUAGUCAUAAAACUUGUAACAAUUGAAAAAUAAACUUUAUAAUCUCAUUAUUUUCUUGUUUGUUGUUCUAUUGUGUAAUUCUGGUUUCUUAACCGAUAUUCUCUUAAAUUUAUUUUGCAAACAGAAUCAUUCAAAUGG